CGGAAUCUGCUGCUGGGCACCUUUGACCUGGAGACUUUGCUGAAAAGCAACCUAAAUGGUGGGAAGCCAACCAGAGGGGAUGGGGAGCAGCUGGUCGCCCUUGACCAAAUUAAAAAGGCAGCCAUUAUUGGCAUCAACAUAGACUGUAUAAGGUAAGGCACCCAUUAUUUUUACUGUACCUGCUUAGCACCUAUAAUACUAAUUCAUCGUUUGCUCACUUCUUGAUCCUACCUUUUGUCUUCUUAAGCCACAUUUCUGGGGUAUUGCACUGUAAGGUGUGUUGUCCUCUAUUUUGUAGGACAUAUAGUGUUGCAAAUAACUCCAUUGCAUGUUGUCGUCUGAAGGGUUAAUAAAAAAUCAUAUUCACCCCUCCUUCACCCUUAAACCAUUCUGUCCUGUGUUUGUGCCUUAGUUUGUCUUU